rnacentral:rRNA from 1 species
UACAUGGGGUGCAAACGUUGCUCGGAAUCAUUGGGCGUAAAGCGCGCGUAGGCGGUUGCCUAAGUCAGAUGUGAAAGCCCUCGGCUCAACUGGGGAAGUGCAUCUGAAACUGGGCAGCUAGAGUACCAAAGAGGGUCGCGGAAUUCCCGGUGUAGCGGUGAAAUGCGUAGAUAUCUGGAGGAACACCGGUGGCGAAGGCGGCAUCCUGGACCAACACUGACGCUGAGUGAGCGAAAGCCAGGGGAGCAAACGGG